rnacentral:lncRNA from 1 species
CUUCAAUCAACAGUCCACUAUACCGAAAUUGAUUGAUGAUCUCCAGAGCGCAAUCCCCGACUGAAGGAACCUAGAAAUUUUUCCAACGAUCAUUGGCAGCCCAAGAAGACGAAUGGCCGAGUAGAAUAUUGGUUCCUCCGACCAGAUUUUGCAACAAAAUUCGCCUGCACCUACAAGAUUUCUCUACGCUCCAUGACAAGAAAUGCAGGAGGCCGAAGAACUUAUGCCGUGCUCCAAAACCCGCGGUCCAAGCGGAAAUUACAGUCACACACUGCCGGUGACCAAAAAGAAGAAGCUUGAAGGGGAGAAAAAUCAAAGCCAAUAGACACCAAGCUCUGAUACCAUGUAAUAAUUUAAGAAGGAAAAAUAUAUUUUCUCUUAUUCUCAUAGAAAGGAGACGAUACACACACACACACACGAUGUUAGAGAUCUAUAUUAAAACUAUAUAAAUUAGGGAUUUAUAAUUACCCUAUAAUUAGGCCCAUAACACUAAACAUCCUAGAUUGUCGAUUUCUUCCACUUGACACCUUGAUAGAAAGGGAAAGAACAGAAUUUUAUCAGGUUUUGUCCAAAUAUUCCAUUAACCUACCUACUGUCGAUUCAAGAAAAGAACACAGAGAUUUACCAACAAGCAAGCAAUUAAGAAUUAAGGGAAAAGAUUCUCUCUUACUCUUCGGAUUUUCCAUUAAUAGGGAUAUGUCAUUCAUGUAUCAUGCUGACUGAGCUUCAUUCCAAGUUCAUGCACAUGUCUUUGUAACAAUACUCAUCAAACGACAUUACUUACUCAUAAGAAUCAGAAAGCUUGGCAUAAAAUCAUUGUAAUUUCACAAUUCCUGAGAGUUUCAUAUUAUCUGGAGCCCACAUCAAGGGUAAUAACGUGUCGGGAUUUGAUUUUCUUCGUUGUUCAAUCAUUAGAAUUACGUUUGAGAAUAAAAG